UGAACUGGCCGCAGGGCAAGCUGGGACCCGGUUCCCCUGCAUGGGUUGGUGUCCGUGUACCCACACGUGGGUGUGUGUGUGCCCGUCACUGUGGCUGCACACCUGCCUGUGGUGUAUGUGCAUCCGGUUUCAUAUUGGCUUUUUUGUUUUCGUUUUUUGUCUUUUUGCCAUUUCUAGAGCUGCUCCCAUGGCAUAUGGAGGUUCCCAGGCUAGGGGUCGAAUCGGAGCUGUAGCUGCUGGGCUACACCAGAGCCAUAGCAACACCAGAUCUGAGCUGCAUCUGCAACCACCACAGCUCAACAAUGCCCGAUCCUUAACCCACUGAGCAAGGCCAAGGAUUGAACCUGCGUCCUCAUGGAUGCAAGUCAGAUUCGUUUCCACUGAGCCAUGACGGGAACUCCUGGCAUGUGGGUUUUUUAAUUCAGGGUUAUGCGUGUCUGUCUACACUUGUCUCUGUGUGUAGGUACAUAGUCUCAUUAUAUCUGUGUGUUUAUGUGGUAAUCAGAGCAAACACCUGUAUGGCCCUUCUGUCCACCAGGCUUCCGGGUGCACAGAGGUUCCAUGAGCCUAAUCCUUUCACCAAGGUGGGUGCUCUUAGGAUCUCGAUUUUCAGAUGAGGAAACUGAGACACAGAGGGGUUGAGCAACUUGCCCAAGGGUGCCCUGGUGGGAUUUGAACCUGGGCUGGUUUGCUCGAAGUCCGCCUCCUGCUCACACACUUGCCAUGUCUGUAUGGAUAGGUGCCCUCAGGGAUCAGGUCCACUUAUGUCCCAUCCCAGCAUCGGGGAAGGGUGCCCGCACCCCGCCUGUGUGGUCAGGCAGGGGUGUGGGUGUGUCUGGUUCCCAUGUGCACGUGGGGGGGGAGAUACGCAAAUGUGUGCACAGGUGUGAUGGGGGCCGACGGCCUGCCUCAGGCUCCAAGAAGGCCCGUGGUGCCAGGACGGGGCCAUCCUUUCCUGCCUAAGAGCAAAUCACAGGAAUGGCAGCCCCAGGGACUGUCCUGGGCCUUCUCCCCACCCUCCCCAGGCCCCAGAGGGCCUUUGUUGCCUUUACUGGGGACCCAGAGGAGGGGGGGCGGCCGCUACGGGAAUUCCUCCAGAACCCCCCGCUUUCAGCCUUUCAGGGGCGCGGGAGGCGCAUGGAAAACUCUGACCGCUGGUGGCGGCUGAGGGCGCAGGGUGGUCACGCGGGGUAGGGGCGCUGGACUCAAGCCUCAAGGGAGCAGGACUCAUGGCCUUUGCAGAACCAACCAAAAGCAGGCCCUGGGUGGCGCCUGCCUUGGACCUGGAGUCCGGCCAGCAGCCCUGGCCUGGCUCCGAGAGGCCUCCUCCAGGCUGGCCCAAGGGACUCUACACACCAGGAUGCUGGGCCAGAGGUCCAGAGAGGCGGGCGGGGACCCCAGAGGCUCCAGGGGCCAUGGAGGCAGACACAGCUGUUUGUUUGGAGUGGGACCUGCAUGGUCUCGCAGGCGCCCUGGUUCCUCCUCCUCUGUCAGCAGGGUUUCCAGCGGGAGCGAAGCUGGGUGGUCCUCUCCACCCCUGCUGGUCUCUGUGCCUCUGCGCCUUCUUCUCUCCUGGGAGCAGCCACCUCCUUUCUUUCUCGGCCCCACAGAGGGGGCAGCUGGUUGCUUCCUCCUGCUCUCUCACUGCACCUGUAAUGGGUUGAUAGACACCCCCCCCCCAAAGAUAUGUCCAAGUCCUAACCCAGGCACCUGUGGAUGUGACCUUAUUUAGAUCUUUGCAGAUGUCAUCAAGUUAAGGAUCUCGAGGUACCACUUCACACGGGUCAGACUGGCCAUCAUAGAAAGUCUACAAAUGACAAAUGCUGGAGAGAGUGCAGAGAAAGGGGCACCCUCCUGCACUGGUGGGGGAAUCUAAGUUACUGCAACCGCUACGGAGAACAGUAUGGAGAGUCCUCAGAAAACAAAAUAUAAAACGACCAUAUGAUGCCGCAAUCUCACCCCUGGCCACAUAUUGGGACAAAACUAAUCAAAAAAGAUGUAUGCACCCCUGUGUUCAUUGCAGCACGAUUCACAAUAGCCAAGACACAGAAACCACCUAAAUGUCCAUCGACAGAUGAAUGGAUUACGAAGACAUGAUACAGCAAUGAGACCCUGCUGUAGAGUGCUGGGGACUCUGUCCAGUCACUUAUGAUGGAGCCUGAUGGAGGAUAAUGUGAGAAAAAGGAUGAAUACAUGUACGUGUGACUGGGUUACUUUGCUGUGCAGUAGAAAACGGACAGAACACUG
rnacentral:lncRNA from 1 species